UACGAAGGGUGCAAGCGUUACUCGGAAUUACUGGGCGUCAAGCGUGCGUAGGUGGUUCGUUAAGUCUGAUGUGAAAGCCCUGGGCUCAACCUGGGAAUGGCAUUGGAAACUGGCGACCUAGAGUGCGGUAGAGGGUAGUGGAAUUCCCGGUGUAGCAGUGAAAUGCGUAGAGAUCGGGAGGAACAUCCGUGGCGAAGGCGACUACCUGGACCAGCACUGACACUGAGGCACGAAAGCGUGGGGAGCAAACAGG
rnacentral:rRNA from 1 species